GCUUCCAUGACUUCAUCCUCCUCCUCCCUCCUGACAGCCUCUGCUGCACCCUCUGCCUACAUUGCUGCCUACAAUAAUUCUCCUUUCUUGGCUCAGAGGACAUUUUCUCAGAGGAGACUUUCCUGACCUCCCUGAAUAGGCCAAAUUCCUAUCUGCCUCCCCGACUAGAGUAUGAGCUCGUGACAACAGGCUCCAUGUCAACUUUCUGGACACCUAAGGUCUGGCAUGGCUCCUGGCACAAGGCAGGCACCCAAAAGUAGAGACAGGAUUUCACCGUGUUAACCAGGAUGGUCUCAAUCUCCUGACCUUGUGAUCCGCGUGCCUCGGCCUUUCAAAGGGCUGGGAUUACAGGCGUGAGCCACCACGCCAGGCCGAAGAAUGUCAUUUCUAUUGGGGAUGUCGUAAGAUACCAGACAACUGAGCAGAUGUUGGAAAUAAGUUCAGUUUGCUUCUGUUAAGAAUCUUAUACUCAUCUCAAUAAUAGCAUUUUGGGACCCAAGCGAUUUGGUAUUCUUAAAAAUUUGUGUUGAGAUCUUUAUUAAAGCUUUCCCUCAUGCAAUUAGAAUCUGGACUCUGUUCCCUUUCCCCCACUUCCACCUUACCAAGCCUCUUGCUAAAGGUACCCCUGGAGACAUCUAGAGCAAGACAUUUGUCUAGAAGGUCCCGCUGGUCUCCACAACAGAUACACAGAAUCUCCAAGAAGGUUUGUGGAGUGAAUGGCAGUCGGGGCAGAAACUCUCAGUACACAUCAAUCCAGUGUCAAUCCAGGAGCACGAAAGAGAUGAAUUCUGGAGAACAAAAUGGGGAAGCAAUUCAUGAUUCAACCAUGCCAGAAAGACCAGUGAGCACAGAAAGAGCCUCACAAUUUGGAAUCAUCAUAGACCAUGGAGAAAUGAAGUUGCCGAAGAUAAAAAAUCAGGUUUCACUGGUAUCAUACAGGCUGGGCUUAGUUUCCUAUAAAGAGAUAUAGUGGCUUGCAUGGGGAUAAGUAGGAGUUUUAAAGAAUUCCUUGAUUGUAUAAUAGUUGGUUCCUAAUAGGCACAAAGCAGAAGCUUGAAGGAUGUGAAGUUAUUUGCAUAAAGUGCUCAUAUUUUCUUCUGCUUCUGUCCUCAGGGACAAAUUGGCUAGCCAAUAACGCAUAUACACACGCGGGGAGGGGCAUAUACACUUACUCAAACUCAGAAACAUUCAGAACAUUAAAAAGUGCACAAGAAGGUCAGGUGCAAUGUCUCACACCUGUAAUUCCAGCACUUUGGGAGGCUGAGGCGUGUGGAUCGGUUGAGUCCAGAAGUUUGAGACCAGCCUGCACAACAUGGCAAAACCCUGUUUCUACAAA